rnacentral:rRNA from 1 species
GAUGAACGCUAGCGGGAGGCUUAACACAUGCAAGUCGAGGGGCAGCAUAGGGUAGCAAUACUCUGAUGGCGACCGGCAAACGGGUGAGUAACGCGUAUGCAACCUACCCUGUACAGGGGGAUAACCCGGAGAAAUUCGGACUAAUAUCCCGUAAUAAUAUCCGGAGGCAUCUUUGGAUAUUUAAAGUUCCGACGGUACGGGAUGGGCAUGCGUAACAUUAGCUGGUUGGUAAGGUAACGGCUUACCAAGGCUAUGAUGUUUAGGGGUCCUGAGAGGGUGGUCCCCCACACUGGUACUGAGACACGGACCAGACUCCUACGGGAGGCAGCAGUGAGGAAUAUUGGUCAAUGGGCGCAAGCCUGAACCAGCCAUCCCGCGUGCAGGAAGACGGCCCUAUGGGUUGUAAACUGCUUUUCCAGGGAGAGAAACUUACGCACGUGUUGCGUGACUGACGGUACCCUGGGAAUAAGCAUCGGCUAACUCCGUGCCAGCAGCCGCGGUAAGACGUAGCGU